rnacentral:rRNA from 1 species
UUUAUGGAGAGUUUGAUCCUGGCUCAGGAUGAACGCUGGCGGCGUGCCUAAUACAUGCAAGUCGAGCGAACGGAUGAGAAGCUUGCUUCUCUGAUGUUAGCGGCG